GACGAACGCUGGCGGCGUGCUUAACACAUGCAAGUCGAACGGAAAGGCCCUGCUUUUGUGGGGUGCUCGAGUGGCGAACGGGUGAGUAACGCGUGAGUAACCUGCCCUUGACUUUGGGAUAACUUCAGGAAACUGGGGCUAAUACCGGAUAGGAGCUCCUGCUGCAUGGUGGGGGUUGGAAAGUUUCGGCGGUUGGGGAUGGACUCGCGGCUUAUCAGCUUGUUGGUGGGGUAGUGGCUUACCAAGGCUUUGACGGGUAGCCGGCCUGAGAGGGUGACCGGCCACAUUGGGACUGAGAUACGGCCCAGACUCCUACGGGAGGCAGCAGUGGGGAAUAUUGCACAAUGGGCGGAAGCCUGAUGCAGCAACGCCGCGUGCGGGAUGACGGCCUUCGGGUUGUAAACCGCUUUCGCCUGUGACGAAGCGUGAGUGACGGUAAUGGGUAAAGAAGCACCGGCUAACUACGUGCCAGCAGCCGCGGUGAUACGUAGGGUGCGAGCGUUGUCCGGAUUUAUUGGGCGUAAAGGGCUCGUAGGUGGUUGAUCGCGUCGGAAGUGUAAUCUUGGGGCUUAACCCUGAGCGUGCUUUCGAUACGGGUUGACUUGAGGAAGGUAGGGGAGAAUGGAAUUCCUGGUGGAGCGGUGGAAUGCGCAGAUAUCAGGAGGAACACCAGUGGCGAAGGCGGUUCUCUGGGCCUUUCCUGACGCUGAGGAGCGAAAGCGUGGGGAGCGAACAGGCUUAGAUACCCUGGUAGUCCACGCUGUAAACGGUGGGUACUAGGUGUGGGGUCCAUUCCACGGGUUCCGUGCCGUAGCUAACGCUUUAAGUACCCCGCCUGGGGAGUACGGCCGCAAGGCUAAAACUCAAAGGAAUUGGCGGGGCCCCGCACAAGCGGCGGAGCAUGCGGAUUAAUUCGAUGCAACGCGUAGAACCUUACCUGGGUUUGACAUGGAUCGGGAGUGCUCAGAGAUGGGUGUGCCUCUUUUGGGGUCGGUUCACAGGUGGUGCAUGGCUGUCGUCAGCUCGUGUCGUGAGAUGUUGGGUUAAGUCCCGCAACGAGCGCAACCCUUGUUCACUGUUGCCAGCACGUUAUGGUGGGGACUCAGUGGAGACCGCCGGGGUCAACUCGGAGGAAGGUGGGGAUGACGUCAAGUCAUCAUGCCCCUUAUGUCCAGGGCUUCACGCAUGCUACAAUGGCUGGUACAGAGAGUGGCGAGCCUGUGAGGGUGAGCGAAUCUCGGAAAGCCGGUCUCAGUUCGGAUUGGGGUCUGCAACUCGACCUCAUGAAGUCGGAGUCGCUAGUAAUCGCAGAUCAGCAACGCUGCGGUGAAUACGUUCCCGGG
rnacentral:rRNA from 1 species